rnacentral:rRNA from 1 species
UACGAAGGGGGCUAGCGUUGCUCGGAAUCACUGGGCGUAAAGGGCGCGUAGGCGGAUCUUUAAGUCGGGGGUGAAAGCCUGAGGCUCAACCCCGGAACUGCCUUUGAUACUGGGUAUCUGGAGUAUGGAAGAGGUGAGUGGAAUUCCGAGUGUAGAGGUGAAAUUCGUAGAUAUUCGGAGGAACACCAGUGGCGAAGGCGGCUCACUGGUCCAUUACUGACGCUGAGGUGCGAAAGCGUGGGGAGCAAACAGG